rnacentral:rRNA from 1 species
GAUGAACGCUGGCGGCGUGCCUAAUACAUGCAAGUCGAGCGAACGGAUGAGAAGCUUGCUUCUCUGAUGUUAGCGGCGGACGGGUGAGUAACACGUGGAUAACCUACCUAUAAGACUGGGAUAACUUCGGGAAACCGGAGCUAAUACCGGAUAAUAUUUUGAACCGCAUGGUUCAAAAGUGAAAGACGGUCUUGCUGUCACUUAUAGAUGGAUCCGCGCUGCAUUAGCUAGUUGGUAAGGUAACGGCUUACCAAGGCAACGAUGCAUAGCCGACCUGAGAGGGUGAUCGGCCACACUGGAACUGAGACACGGUCCAGACUCCUACGGGAGGCAGCAGUAGGGAAUCUUCCGCAAUGGGCGAAAGCCUGACGGAGCAACGCCGCGUGAGUGAUGAAGGUCUUCGGAUCGUAAAACUCUGUUAUUAGGGAAGAACAUAUGUGUAAGUAACUGUGCACAUCUUGACGGUACCUAAUCAGAAAGCCACGGCUAACUACG